rnacentral:misc_RNA from 1 species
UUUAGAAGUGAUGAUGAGACUGAUGAUGGUUUUGCCGUGCUGGUUCCUUGUUACAGACCUGGCUGCAAGGAGUUGGUGGAAGGUUCAACUAACCAGCUUUUAAGUGCUAUCAAGAAUUUGCCAAUUGAGUUCUCUUCUGAGGGAAAGAACUACAUGGAGUGGCUUUCUUCCUUCAGAAUUUCUGAAGUCUAGAGUUGGCUGGCGAUUUGUGGAAGAGUCAUUGCAUCCAGUGAAACAUUUCAAUGACCCCCAACCUGUUACAAAGUAUCAAAUUUAAUUCAGAAAUGAUAGAAGAAAUAAAGUCUAAGCAGCAAACAUUAUGUAUAUAAUAUAUGCAUUACCUUCAUGUGUUGAAGUGCGAAGGAUUAAGCAUCCGUUCAAUCAAGUUGAUGGUAAUGUUGUUUACUUCAGAAAACAUAUUGAACUUGUUUAAUUUAGAGAUGAGUUAGAUGUUUCUCAGCUUAUGUCGUGGUUUGCUAGUGAUAUUUUCUAUGAUUAGAUGCCUGAUCAACUGUUUGACAGGGAAAUAUGAGAUGG